AGGGAAAGAGGGAGGUAGACAUAACACAUGCGAGUCGAACGGCAGCACAGUAAGAGCUUGCUCUUACGGGUGGCGAGUGGCGGACGGGUGAGGAAUACAUCGGAAUCUACUUUUUCGUGGGGGAUAACGUAGGGAAACUUACGCUAAUACCGCAUACGACCUACGGGUGAAAGCAGGGGAUCUUCGGACCUUGCGCGAUUGAAUGAGCCGAUGUCGGAUUAGCUAGUUGGCGGGGUAAAGGCCCACCAAGGCGACGAUCCGUAGCUGGUUUGAGAGGAUGAUCAGCCACACUGGAACUGAGACACGGUCCAGACUCCUACGGGAGGCAGCAGUGGGGAAUAUUGGACAAUGGGCGCAAGCCUGAUCCAGCCAUACCGCGUGGGUGAAGAAGGCCUUCGGGUUGUAAAGCCCUUUUGUUGGGAAAGAAAAGCAGCAGGUUAAUACCCCGCUGUUCUGACGGUACCCAAAGAAUAAGCACCGGCUAACUUCGUU
rnacentral:rRNA from 1 species